AUUGAACGCUGGCGGCAGGCCUAACACAUGCAAGUCGAACGGCAGCACAGAAGAGCUCGCUCUUUGGGUGGCGAGUGGCGGACGGGUGAGUAAUGUCUGGGAAACUGCCCGAUGGAGGGGGAUAACUACUGGAAACGGUAGCUAAUACCGCAUAACGUCGCAAGACCAAAGUGGGGGACCUUCGGGCCUCACACCAUCGGAUGUGCCCAGAUGGGAUUAGCUAGUAGGUGGGGUAAUGGCUCACCUAGGCGACGCUCCCUAGCUGGUCUGAGAGGAUGACCAGCCACAAUGGAACAGAGACACAGUCCAGACUCCGACGGGAGGAAGCAGUGGGGAAUAUUGCACAAUGGGGGAAAGCCAGAUGCAGCCAUGCCGGGUGUAUGAAGAAGGCGUUCGGGUUGUAAAGUACUUGCAGCGUGGAGGAAGGCGGUGAGGUUAAUAACCUUGACGAUUGACGUUACCCGCAGAAGAAGCACCGGCUAACUCCGUGCCAGCCGCCGCCGUAA
rnacentral:rRNA from 1 species